rnacentral:ribozyme from 1 species
GCACAACAUUUGAUCUUUCAGAUGUUCCAGUUUUGGACCGAGGGGCAGAGGAUGCCUGCAGCUGGAGGGCAGGUUUUUCCUGUUCCAUGCCAUUUUGUUCAGUGCAUUAUCCGUUUAAACCUUGGUGUGCGUUUCAAGUGAAGUUUUUUGCCAGUGGUGGCUCAUGAUGGAUUGCAGGAGGGUGAGCUACGCUUGCAAGGGCAAAACACACAGCAGGGGGCUCGGGGUUAAUGUUUGAAUUACAGGAAUGGAAGCUUGUGUCAAGGUGUUGCAAGUAAAUGUGGAACAGUUUCAUGGCACAUUUUUGCAUCGCCUUGUGUUUCCAAGGGAAAGGAAGACACUAUAUUAAGCAUUUUCCAAGGACACAUUGUCUGG